AGUGAAGCGGCAACAGCUCAAAUUUGAAAUCUGGCCUUCGGGUCCGAGUUGUAAUUUGUAGAGGAUGCUUUUGGCGCGGUGCUUUCCGAGUUCCCUGGAACGGGACGCCUUAGAGGGUGAGAGCCCCGUACGGUUGGACACCAAGCCUCUGUAAAGCUCCUUCGACGAGUCGAGUAGUUUGGGAAUGCUGCUCUAAAUGGGAGGUAAAUUUCUUCUAAAGCUAAAUAUUGGCCAGAGACCGAUAGCGCACAAGUAGAGUGAUCGAAAGAUGAAAAGCACUUUGAAAAGAGGGUUAAAUAGCACGUGAAAUUGUUGAAAGGGAAGCGUUUGCGACCAGACCUUUUCCUAGCGGAUCAUCCGGUGUUUUCACCGGUGCACUUCGCUAUGUUGAGGCCAGCAUCGGUUUCGGUAGGGGGAUAAAAGCUUGGGGAACGUAGCUCCCUCGGGAGUGUUAUAGCCCCUCGCAUAAUACCCUUACGGGGACCGAGGACCGCGCUUUUUGCAAGGAUGCUGGCGUAAUGGUCGUCAACGACCCGUCUUGAAACACGGACCAAGGAGUCGAACAUUUAUGCGAGUGUUAGGGUGUUAAACCCUCACGCGUAAUGAAAGUGAACGGAGGUGAGAGCCCUUACGGGUGCAUCAUCGACCGAUCCUGAUGUCUUCGGAUGGAUUUGAGUAAGAGCAUAACUGUUCGGACCCGAAAGAUGGUGAACUAUGCGUGGAUAGGGUGAAGCCAGAGGAAACUCUGGUGGAGGCUCGCAGCGGUUCUGACGUGCAAAUCGAUCGUCAAAUCUGCGCAUGGGGGCGAAAGACUUAUCGAACCAUCUAGUAGCUGGUUACCGCCGAAGUUUCCCUCAGGAUAGCAGUGUUGUUCUUCAGUUUUAUGAGGUAAAGCGAAUGAUUAGGGACUCGGGGGCGCUUUUUAGCCUUCAUCCAUUCUCAAACUUUAAAUAUGUAAGAAGCCCUUGUUGCUUAGUUGAACGUGGGCAUUCGAAUGU
rnacentral:rRNA from 1 species